rnacentral:rRNA from 1 species
AAUAUUGGUCAAUAGCCUAACGGCUGAACCAGCAACUUGGAGGAAUGUAUAGCGAAAGCUAAUUGUAUUAGCAGGCAAUGGUUAAUAUAAUAUCGACUAUGUCGACUAAAGUUCUAGGUAGAGUAAUGAUAAUGACAUUUUUUACCUAUGUGUCUUGACCAAGUCACGUGCCAGCAGUCGCGGUAAUACGUGGAAGACAAGUGUUAUUCAUCUUUAAUAGGUUUAAAGGGUACCCAGACGGUAUAUUUAGCCCAAAAAAGGUACUAAAUAAACUAGAGUUUAAUGUGAGGGGGUUUAUAGUACUAAUGGUGUAGAGAUGAAAUUCUGUCAUACCAGGAGGUAACUGGCAGCGGCGAAAGCAACCCUUUAUGCAAAAACUGACGUUGA